rnacentral:rRNA from 1 species
CUGCAAGUCGAGCGCAGGAAGCAAGUUGAUCCCCUUCGGGGGUGACGCUUGUGGAAUGAGCGGCGGACGGGUGAGUAACACGUGGGCAACCUGCCUGUAAGACUGGGAUAACCCCGGGAAACCGGGGCUAAUACCGGAUAAUACUUUCUUUUGCAUAAAGGAAAGUUGAAAGGCGGCUUCGGCUGUCACUUACAGAUGGGCCCGCGGCGCAUUAGCUAGUUGGUGAGGUAACGGCUCACCAAGGCGACGAUGCGUAGCCGACCUGAGAGGGUGAUCGGCCACACUGGGACUGAGACACGGCCCAGACUCCUACGGGAGGCAGCAGUAGGGAAUCUUCCGCAAUGGACGAAAGUCUGACGGAGCAACGCCGCGUGAGUGAUGAAGGUUUUCGGAUCGUAAAACUCUGUUGUUAGGGAAGAACAAGUACGAUAGUAACUGAUCGUACCUUGACGGUACCUAACCAGAAAGCCACGGCUAACUACGUGCCAGCAGCCGCGGUAAUACGUAGGUGGCAAGCGUUGUCCGGAAUUAUUGGGCGUAAAGCGCUCGCAGGCGGUCCUUUAAGUCUGAUGUGAAAUCUCGCGGCUCAACCGCGAACGGUCAUUGGAAACUGGAGGACUUGAGUACAGAAGAGGAGAGUGGAAUUCCACGUGUAGCGGUGAAAUGCGUAGAGAUGUGGAGGAACACCAGUGGCGAAGGCGACUCUCUGGUCUGUAACUGACGCUGAGGAGCGAAAGCGUGGGGAGCGAACAGGAUUAGAUACCCUGGUAGUCCACGCCGUAAACGAUGAGUGCUAGGUGUUAGGGGGUUUCCGCCCCUUAGUGCUGAAGUUAACGCAUUAAGCACUCCGCCUGGGGAGUACGGCCGCAAGGCUGAAACUCAAAAGAAUUGACGGGGGCCCGCACAAGCGGUGGAGCAUGUGGUU